rnacentral:rRNA from 1 species
UACGGGGGGGGCAAGCGUUGUUCGGAAUUACUGGGCGUAAAGGGCUCGUAGGCGGCCAACUAAGUCAGACGUGAAAUCCCUCGGCUUAACCGGGGAACUGCGUCUGAUACUGGAUGGCUAGAGGUUGGGAGAGGGAUGCGGAAUUCCAGGUGUAGCGGUGAAAUGCGUAGAGAUCAGCAGGAACACCCGUGGCGAAGGCGGCCCCCUGGGCCGUACCUGACGCUGAGGCGCGAAGGCUAGGGGAGCGAACGGG